rnacentral:lncRNA from 1 species
UGGGAUUGGAAGAAAGAGGCGGCGUGGUGGCAGCUCUGAGGCCUGUGAGGCCAGCUCAGAGGCUGGAGAAAUCCGCUCUCCUCUCUGUGCACCAAACGCGGCUGUGGCCCCCAUGCCCGGCAGGCAAGCCCAGGGCUGCCUGGGCCCGCUUCCAGGGGAUGGGGAGGUGGCCCCGUGGCGGGGCUGGGCAUGGCUGGUGUGCAGCGGAGGACGGUGCACGAGGCAUCCGUGUGGGGCGGCUGCCAUGUGCGGGAACACGGCCACGCGGGGUGCGGCACCUCAAUGCUCUGCGGGCAGAGGUGCCGACCCAGCUGUGUUCCCAGUGCCGCGGGAGGCUGAGGCAGGAGGAGCCCCAGGCUGAGCAACCUGAGUGGGAAAGUACUGAGGCGCCCUGGCUCAAAAUGCAAAGAGCUAGGGCUGCAGAUGCAGCUCGGUGUGGAGGCCCUGGGUUCCGCACCCAGGACCAAAGUGCUGGGGGGACUCGGGGCGGGGCCGUGGGGCCCGGGGGCCCUCGCAGGGCGCGUGUGGGCCGCAGAGGCUUGGGAUUCGAACCCCAGGCCCAGCAGGGUCAGCCCUGCCGAGACCCCGCCAGGACACGGGGCCGCCUCCAGGGCGGGAGAGCUGCAGCCCGGGCCGCCGUGUGGGCCGUGCGAAGCAGCACUCGCCAGCAAGAAAAUAACCACUUAAACGGGCACAGGGCCGGGCGUGGCGGGCAUGCCUCCCUCCCCCAGGGGGGACACAGAAGCACAGACACACGCACGCGCACACACACACACGCACACGGCUCAGUGAGCGCUGCGCACGCUGUGCGGGGCCCCGUCGGCCGCAGCCACACAGGCCCUGUCCAGGGGCGGACCCCCCCCCCGCCCGCGGUCCCAGGCAGCGGCCUCGGGACAACAGAUGCCCCCGACCCCACCCACCCCAGCGGCUGGAGGCCCGGACACACGGCCCUGUGCCCCGGGCAGUCAGUCUGGGGACCCGGUCCGGGGUCCGCAGCGGCACCCACAGGCCGGCAGAGUCAGCUCUGCGGUCCGGGCCGCCCGCGGACAGAGCCGGUCCCCUGGGGGAGGCAGGGACCCCACGCCGCACCCGGGACACUGACAGCCGGACGACCCGAGCCCCUCCAGCCCGUCUGGACGUCCGCAGACCCGGUCCCGGGGACCCCGCAGCCGGACACCGGGACCGGACGGGGCGGCCGGCAGGUGGCGCCCGCGGCAGCCCAGGAAGCAGGGUUUGCGCUUAAUCCAAGACAGAAAUAGACGCGCAGCUGCGGGCUGGGGCCGGGAUGCGGCUGGGGCUGGCCUGAGGUGGGGAUGGGGCGACCCGCCCGCCCACGCUCCUGCGCGCUCGCCCCACGCGCCCGGCCGCAGCUCCGGUCAGCGCCACUCCGGGACCGGCCUGACCAGCGCCGAGGGUCAGCGGGCGCCCCGCACCGGCCCCUCCCCGGCCCUGGGGAGCGGGGUCCCCGGGGUGCAGCUCCGGCACAGGAGUGUCCUGGGCACAGAGCGAGGGCGCCUGGGCCUGCAGGGGCACCGAGGCCGUAGCAGGAGCCCUGCUCUGCAGGCCCGGGAUCCGCCUCGGGAGGCUGAGGCGGGAGGAUGCGAGUCUGAGGCCAGGCUGGGCUGCACAGCGAGAGCACCUUUCAAGGAACGAACAGCAGCAACACUCGGACAGGACGGGGUUCCCAUAUGAAACCUGGCCUGGGCGGAAGGAGCCGCACCCUGAGGCGGGAGCCCCACCCGCCCACACGGUGACCCCCAGGAGGGAACUGAACCCACACGUGACCCCGACCACACACGGGAUCCUGGGCCCCCCGACUACCAACCCCGGGCACCACCGGGACGCCUAACCACCGUGGGUUGGGUGGGGAGGCCUGACAGCCCGCACUGGACCCUGGGACCCUCGACACCCCGCACUGGCAGCGGGGACCCCCACGAUGAAAGGGCUUCACGCCUCCCGCCACGGGCUCCCGGCAGCUGCGCUCCUGGGGAGGCCAGCAGAGGUGACGUUGAGGAGCACGCUGCUCUACAAGGGCGGCGCACGCUGUCAGCCAGCACUCGGAGGCUGAGGCAGGAGGGUCCAGGCACACGCUGCAGGCAGCCUGGGCUCCUCAGAGCUCAGGGCCGUGCAGAGGCCCCGCGAGGCGCCCACGGGUCCCAGGGCUGCCUGCCGGGCACACACGGCGGCGGGCAGAGGUGACAUUGCCCUCGC